rnacentral:rRNA from 1 species
UACGUAGGGUGCGAGCGUUGUCCGGAAUUAUUGGGCGUAAAGAGCUUGUAGGCGGUCUGUCGCGUCUGCUGUGAAAAUCCGGGGCUCAACCCCGGACUUGCAGUGGGUACGGGCAGACUAGAGUGUGGUAGGGGAGACUGGAAUUCCUGGUGUAGCGGUGAAAUGCGCAGAUAUCAGGAGGAACACCGGUGGCGAAGGCGGUGAUCUGGGCCGACACUGACGCUGUAGAGCGAAAGCGUGGGGAGCGAACAGG